AGGGUUUGAUCAUGGCUCAGGAUGAACGCUGGCGGCGUGCUUAACACAUGCAAGUCGAACGAACCUUCGGGUUAGUGGCGGACGGGUGAGUAACGCGUGAGAAUCUGCCCUCAGGAGGGGGAUAACGGUUGGAAACGACCGCUAAUACCCCAUAUGCCUACUGGUGAAAUGAAUUUCGCCUGAGGAUGAGCUCGCGUCUGAUUAGCUAGUUGGUGAGGUAAUGGCUCACCAAGGCUUCGAUCAGUAGCUGGUCUGAGAGGAUGAUCAGCCACACUGGGACUGAGACACGGCCCAGACUCCUACGGGAGGCAGCAGUGGGGAAUUUUCCGCAAUGGGCGAAAGCCUGACGGAGCAACGCCGCGUGAGGGACGAAGGCCUCUGGGCUGUAAACCUCUUUUCUCAAGGAAGAAGAUAUGACGGUACUUGAGGAAUAAGCCACGGCUAAUUCCGUGCCAGCAGCCGCGGUAAUACGGGAGUGGCAAGCGUUAUCCGGAAUUAUUGGGCGUAAAGCGUCCGCAGGCGGCUUUUCAAGUCUGCUGUUAAAGCGUGGAGCUUAACUCCAUCAUGGCAGUGGAAACUGAAAGGCUUGAGUAUGGUAGGGGCAGAGGGAAUUCCCGGUGUAGCGGUGAAAUGCGUAGAUAUCGGGAAGAACACCAGUGGCGAAGGCGCUCUGCUGGGCCAUUACUGACGCUCAUGGACGAAAGCCAGGGGAGCGAAAGGGAUUAGAUACCCCUGUAGUCCUGGCCGUAAACGAUGAACACUAGGUGUCGGGGGAAUCGACCCCUUCGGUGUCGUAGCUAACGCGUUAAGUGUUCCGCCUGGGGAGUACGCACGCAAGUGUGAAACUCAAAGGAAUUGACGGGGGCCCGCACAAGCGGUGGAGUAUGUGGUUUAAUUCGAUGCAACGCGAAGAACCUUACCAGGGUUUGACAUCCUGCGAACCUCUUAGAAAUUUGAGGGUGCCUUCGGGAAUGCAGUGACAGGUGGUGCAUGGCUGUCGUCAGCUCGUGUCGUGAGAUGUUGGGUUAAGUCCCGCAACGAGCGCAACCCACGUUUUUAGUUGCCAGCAUUUAGUUGGGCACUCUAGAAAGACCGCCGGUGAUAAACCGGAGGAAGGUGUGGAUGACGUCAAGUCAUCAUGCCCCUUACACCCUGGGCUACACACGUACUACAAUGCUACGGACAAAGGGCAGCAAACUCGCGAGAGCUAGCAAAUCCCAUAAACCGUGGCUCAGUUCAGAUCGUAGGCUGCAACUCGCCUACGUGAAGUAGGAAUCGCUAGUAAUCGCAGGUCAGCAUACUGCGGUGAAUACGUUCCCGGGCCUUGUACACACCGCCCGUCACACCAUGGAAGUUGGCCAUUCCCGAAGUCGUUACUCCAACCCUUGUGGAGGAGGACGCCGAAGGUGGGGCUAAUGACUGGGGUGAAGUCAUAACAAGGUAACCGUA
rnacentral:rRNA from 1 species